UACAGAGACCUCAAGCGUUAUCCGGAAUCAUUGGGCGUAAAGCGUACCGAUAGGUGGUUUUGGUAGUUUUGGGUAAAAGCCAGAAGCUCAACUUCUGCGUUUGCUCAAAAUACUCCAAGACUAGAGGGACAAAGAGGUGGCUGGAACGAAUGGUGUAGUAGUGAAAUGCGUUGAUAUCAUUCGGAACACCGAAAGCGAAGGCAGGCCACUGGGUGUCACCUGACACUGCUAGGACGAAAGCGUGGGGAGCGAAUGGG
rnacentral:rRNA from 1 species